UCACAUUACAUUUUCUCUUUUGAUAAUGAUUAGUCUGGACUACGGGUGAUCCAUGGAGUAUUAUCACCGGGCAUGUUGGAGAGAUCAUGUGUCAAACGCCAUGGAGUUGCAAUGGGGAUUCAUAGCAUUUGUUUAGCAUUUUGUAUAGUUUUUUGGAAAAAAAAAACAAAGUUUGCAUGGGAGGGAACUUGUUUUUUUCCCUUCAUUAAUUAUAUUGGAUAUACAUAACAAUGUAAACAUACCUUUUUUUUUUUGUUACUGUAGUAUUGAGGAUUAAUAAAUAUUUCUUAUAUUGCUUGUACAAAGGUAAGGUUUUAAUGCAUCUUAUUUAAUU
rnacentral:lncRNA from 1 species